rnacentral:rRNA from 1 species
UACGUAGGGGGCGAGCGUUAUCCGGAAUUAUUGGGCGUAAAGCGCGUGCAGGCGGCCGGUUAAGUCAGGUGUGAAAGGCUGCGGCUCAACCGCAGAGCGGCACCUGAAACUGGUCGGCUUGAGUGCAGGAGAGGGGAGCGGAAUUCCCGGUGUAGCGGUGGAAUGCGUAGAGAUCGGGAGGAACACCAGUGGCGAAGGCGGCUCUCUGGCCUGUAACGUGACGCUGAGGCGCGAAAGCGUGGGGAGCAAACAGG